AGGGGGUGAAUGAUAUAAGAUCCUACAACACACCACUGCCAAGCAAGAGAGGUCCUGUCUUUGCCAUCACCAGAAGUUCCUUUGCUCCUCAGAGAAGUCACAUUACAAGGAGACACAGAACUUCUGCUCUCUACUUACAAAUGGUUGCAAUACUUUAAUCUCUCAUAUAACUAAAUAAAAACAACACAUAAGGCCUGUCUGAGGAGUGAGCUCAACUUUGUCUUCUGCUUGACCUGGGCUGUUUAAACACCCUGAGGAGUCUGGUCCCUGGAUACUUAACACUUGGUCUCUGGGUAAUAAUGGGGCUCAUUACCUGAUGUUUACCCUGAGGUAGAGAGGAUGUGAAAGAAAUAAAGAACUUUGAAAGAAA